GAAAGUCUGGGGAGCUAACAGGAUUAGAUACCCUGGUAGUCCAGACCGUAAACGGUGGGCACUAGUUGUGGGAACCUUCCACGGUUUCUGCGACGCAGCUAACGCAUUAAGUGCCCCGCCUGGGGAGUACGAUCGCAAGAUUAAAACUCAAAGGAAUUGACGGGGCCCCGCACAAGCAGCGGAGCAUGCGGCUUAAUUCGACGCAACGCGAAGAACCUUACCAAGGCUUGACAUAUAGGGAAAAGUGGCAGAGAUGUCAUGUCCGCAAGGGCUCUAUACAGGUGGUGCAUGGUUGUCGUCAGCUCGUGUCGUGAGAUGUUGGGUUAAGUCCCGCAACGAGCGCAACCCUCGUUCUGUGUUGCCAGCAUUUAGUUGGGGACUCACAGGAGACUGCCGGGGUUAACUCGGAGGAAGGUGAGGAUGACGUCAAAUCAUCAUGCCCCUUAUGUCUUGGGCUGCACGCAUGCUACAAUGGCCGGUACAGAGGGCUGCAAUACCGUAAGGUGGAGCGAAUCCCAAAAAGCCGGUCUCAGUUCGGAUUGAGGUCUGCAACUCGACCUCAUGAAGUUGGAGUUGCUAGUAAUCGUAGAUCAGCAACGCUACGGUGAAUACGUUCCCGGGGCUUGUACACACCGCCCGUCACGUCACGAAAGUCGGUAACACCCAAAGUCAGUGGCCCAACCGCAAGGGGGGAGCUGCCUAAGGUGGGAUCGGUGAUUGGGACGAAGUCGUAACAAGGUAGGCGUACCGGAAGGUGCGGCUG
rnacentral:rRNA from 1 species